rnacentral:rRNA from 1 species
UACGUAGGGUGCGAGCGUUGUCCGGAUUUAUUGGGCGUAAAGAGCUUGUAGGCGGCUCGUCACGUCGGGUGUGAAAACUUGCGGCUCAACCGCAAGCCUGCACCCGAUACGGGCGGGCUAGAGUUCGGCAGGGGAGACUGGAAUUCCUGGUGUAGCGGUGGAAUGCGCAGAUAUCGAGAGGAACACCUGCGGCGAAGGCGGGUUGCUGGGCCGACACUGACGCUGAUGCGCGAAAGCCAGGGGAGCGAACGGG